AAUUACAGUACAUCUCUCUGCUCUGAAUAAUUUUUAAUUAUGGAUUUCAAGUUCACUAUCUGUAAUUUUACUGCUCAACCGUGUCUCUGAAAGAGUUAUGACUUUAGGCUAAUCCAUAUUUUUAGGAAUCCAUUUUUGGAAGCAGGCUUCGAAUGUUGGAAUGCAUAAUUUCCAAUCCUUUAGAAUUAUCCAAAAUAUGAUCAUACAAAAUGAAAUACAAGUCAACAAAAUGCAUAUUGCAUGGAAAAAAUGAUUUCUUACAUUUAAUAUAGAGUGCCAAACAUGGUUUGGGAAAAAGAAACAAAUAUACAGACAACCAAACCCAUACAGAUAACAUAAAAAGAAACAUAUAACUAAAAAGCCAAUACAAAAAAAAAAAACACUAUAAUAAAAUAAAGACAAAAUAACAGUUUUGGGGCAUAUGGAGAUUUGUUGAAUACUAGUCAAUUAAGGAAUGUAUUAGAAAACUGCUGGUAAUAAACAAUGCAUAAUUAAAUAAAAACAAUCCAUUCUUAAGUUAAUUCAUAAUUGAAACACAGAAGUACAUACGAUAAAUAUUAUGUACACAUCACAGGUACAAUAUAGCAUUAAAGAAGUCACAUUUUACAAAUAACCACAGUUUAGAAAUAAGCAACACUGGUGUUGACACCAAUUCAUUACAGAACCAAGAAGUGAUAUUCGAAUCUGGAAAUAAUUAUCCACUUACAAUUUAUCAGCCACAGAUCUGGGAUGCACACUAUUCCUCAAAGGCUUAUAAUAGGAUACAGCGUUUUGCAUCUCUGCAGUAUCUCAUGAGGGUAUCGAGAAUUCAAGCCAAACUGCUGACCCUGAAGUUAUCGCCCUCUUUGCUUUUACACGUUUUGCAGCCAGAGCACAACAUGUUUUAUUUUACACAUUCACUUUAAAGUAAUAAAAAUCCUGUAACACAGACCAGCUCCUCUCCCACUAAACUGAGAACAUCAUUCCGCACCAAACCGGGCAUCGUGAGGACUGUCGUCACUGGGGAAACUACAGGCAAACUUCCCUCUGCGUCACUACUUCGCUUUAAACUUUCGACAUUUGUUACUGCAACGUAACUAACCGGCUACGCACCAGGGGCAAGGGACGUCUUUGCAGUCUCCAGGUUUACAAAUUUAUAAACAACUUGUAACAAACUGUUUCAAAACUUCACUUUAAGUUAAAAGCCACGUGUCCGACGUAAAUCCUUCGUCACUGUUGAAAAGAACAACAAAAACAGGACGUUUCGUAUUACCCGCCCCUCCAAAG
rnacentral:lncRNA from 1 species